AGGAUUCCACAACUAAGGGGGAGAAUAUAUUUAGGGGGAGAAUUUAUGAAAGGGGGAAGAAAAAGUAAGUUAGCUUUCUUCUAUUGUCUACAACUAAGGGGGAUUAAACUACUCUUUAGCUGUGUACUACUGAGGGGGAGAUUCUUCUUUCAACUAAGGAGGAGGAUUGAUCUUUCAUCUAAGGGGAGACAACUACUUAUCACUAAGGGGAACCUGAUCAAGGUAACGGGAGGAGAAGUAUAAGGUGAUACAUUUAUUCUUCAGUAAGUGGUAGACAGGAACUUAUUCAUUACCACUGAAGAAUUCAAUGAAGCUGCUGAUUGUUCUUUGCAUAAUGGAAUGU
rnacentral:lncRNA from 1 species